rnacentral:rRNA from 1 species
UGGGGAAUAUUGGACAAUGGGGGCAACCCCGAUCCAGCGAUGCCGCGUGAGUGAAGAAGGCCUUCGGGCUGUAAAGCUCUUUUGUCAGGAAAGAAAGGUUGGCGCGGAAAUGCGUCAGCUGUGACGGUACCUGAAGAAUAAGCACCGGCUAACUCUGUGCCAGCAGCCGCGGUAAUACAGAGGGUGCGAGCGUUAAUCGGAAUUACUGGGCGUAAAGAGCGCGUAGGUGGUUUGGUAGGUUGAAUGUGAAAUACCUGGGCUUAACCCGGGGGCUGCAUUCAAAACGGCCAAGCUAGAGUGUUGGAGAGGGAAGUAGAAUUUCUGGUGUAGCAGUGAAAUGCGUAGAUAUCAGAAAGAAUGACAGUGGCGAAGGCGACUUCCUGGCCAAAUACUGACACUGAGGCGCGAAAGCGUGGGGAGCAAAGAGG